AAUGGCAAGAAAAUUUUGGGGCUUGUGUUUUUGCAUUUUUUUUAAUUGUUUGUGCAGGAAGCAUUACUGAAAGAGCACUUCAGUCCUGGGGCUACAAUUCAUUGCUAGUCAAAGCCUGUUUCCAGAGAUGCGCAUCAGAGCCAGCUCUUCAGUUCUGGGAGCAAUGAGUCAAUGCCUGAUUCCACAGAUGCCUAUCAGCUGCCCUUACAUGCACUAUGAAGAUACUGAAGAUGUCUUCAAUUGAAGGACAACUAUGAGCACAAGCAAGGAGGGGCAUCUAGAUGGCCAGCGCAAGGACAACUAUAAUGUAAAAUUUCUCCAAACUUAAAGCAAGGCAUGCCUUCUUCCAAUAAAGGUAU
rnacentral:lncRNA from 1 species